AUUGGGAAAUCGUGUCGGAAUCGCAAACUUCAAUCUCCUAGCGAUUUGUUCUCGAUGGCGGUGGCUUUGGCUGGCGGUGGCGGGCGGUGGCGGGCGGUCGCGGGCGGUCGCGGGCGGUCGCGGCGGCGGCGGCAGGGCGGACCUUUGCCCGCGCGACCGGCCGACUGUCGUCACGGGCACGGGAACGUUUCCCCCCAAAAUGCAGAAAUGGUCCGGUCUAACGAAGAAGUUGGAGUUAAGGGGCCCAAAACUACCACGAUGGCAGCAGUUUCUCAUCCAAGGCGUCGAGUCUUUUGCCCCUUUUAAGUAGCUCAUAUCACGAUUCCUCUUUUUUUAUGUUUUACAAGCUGCACAUGGGCAGGGAAAAGGCGUGGUGCCCGUAGUAUACGCACGUUCACAUGAGCACGAGGCAGUGAGGCAGCCCCACACCCGUUCCCCUCCUCUGGCCGCGCGGCCGCGCCCGGCCCGCCCGCGGAUAUGGCGCUCCGAGUUGGGGUGGUGGGGACGGGGUACACGGAGGAGGGGGCAGCGGAGGGGGCAGAGCGACAGAGAGAGAUGCAGAGCCGCGCACGCGGUUCGCGAUCGCACGAAUCGCAUCCGGCCGGUGGCCCGCGGUACUUACUCCACGGCCACGGUCGGCGGCGCGGCGUUGAGGCGAACCCCCGCACACACUUGCACGUCAGACACACGGCGACUCUCAGCCCAGCCACACCAUGCACUCUGCGAUGACGGCCCUCUUCGUCGGCGUGCUCGCCUGCGCGCUGCUGCUCGCGGCGGCGGCCCCCGCCCCCGAGGACGCGGCCGCCGCCACUCCCGCCACCACCGCGGCCCCGCCGACGCAGCCGGGCCCCCUGGCCCAGGCCUUCGAGACCCUGCUCAAGGAGGGGCCCGAGCGCGCCAAAAAGUUCGGCGAGGGGCUCCGCUCCAACGCCGAGAAGAUCAGGGGCCGCCUCCAGGAGGACCUCGCCAAGAUCGUCGCGCCGCCGGCCUCCCCGACCAAGGCCUCCCUCCUGCACAAGGUCCUGCACCACAAGACGGACUCCGGCACGACGGUGUCCGCGAGCACGCCCCCCACCCCGACAGCCGACGUCCCUCCGCACGGCGGCGGCGCCUCCUCGCAGGGCCCCCAGGACAGUCACGGCCCGACGACCCUCCCCCCGACCACCACGACGGUCGAGUCCAGGACGCUGAUCGGGGCGCCCCUGCGCUGCGGCCCCGGGGAGAGGGCCAGCAUGGGCAAGUGCAGGGAGUACGUCUGAGGGCCGCCCCGCCCACACCAUUCGGGCCGCGGCCCCAACCACUCCACGACGUGUUCUGGCGCGAAACGACUGUCGAACCGACGUCACCUGCGCCAUUUUGACAUGGUUUCGAUCCCCUACUUCGCGCUGGGUACGCGAUGCAAGGCGCUCGUUUCUUGGAUGAACUUAAACUGCCCCGUGUUUUAGUAGACUGUACUCAUUGAGAUUGAAAGACUGGCUGUGACUCCGUCCAGACACGCGUCAUGGCGUUGUGAACAAAGCAGCAACUAGGCGCUGUGAUAUUAUUGAGAACUGAUGUCGGAUUGAAUCAUCGAGUAAUGUUAUUUUGUUAUAUUAAAAAUUGUGCAAAAUAAAAACAUUUAGCCUAUUCCAUCAAUUUCCUUUGUCGUUGAUUUUAAUAAGGUUCGACUCAACACAAUCACUUGUGUGAAUAUAUCUUGUAUACGAGGCGUCUGCAAAAUCCUACCGCAUUGCACGCAUGUGGGUGGAUUGCCUAUUUCAUUCCGCUCACGAUCGUCGCUCGUAUGCACUGCGCCGUAUGGUUCGGCAUCAUCCAGAAAGCACGUGCGUUUUUCUCAGAUUCAUUCGGUAAAUUAUUGGAGCUCGACGCCUGCAAGUAGCAGGGUAGGCCAUCCGGCAGUGCACGCAUGCAACGAAGGCAAUAUGUUGCCUACCCAUCAGGCGCUAGCAGAGCUCAGAGCUUGCAUCGGCUGAACUUUGCACUUUCGUAACGGCGGAUGGCGGGCGCACUUUCUGGAUGAUGCUUUAGCUGCGGUAGUAAAGCCUAACUCGUGCUGUACAGUUAGUACAAACAUGCUGUUAGACAGCUCGGAAUAGCUCAAACCAGACCUGCAACAACUUAAAUGUGUGCCAGACGGGGCUCGCCGUCAACAUCGCACCGUAUUACGAAACGAAACAAAAGUAGAAACACGUUCAGUGCGGCGGAAAACAAACGCCCAUAGUUUAAGUCCAAUGACCACUUUAAGUGGCCACGCUCCACACGCCAACCUCAGUGUGUUAUACAUUUACGACGAAUGAAUGUGCCACCCGUGCCGUGCUCCUCAAGCAAGGUAUCGUACGAAUGUGUCAUGAUCGUCUCAAAUUCAAUGUAAUCGAAUCAAAAUAAACCACCUCUUCCGGGAAUACAAUCAGCUGUUCACUGUGUCAACAGCUGUUCAACAAGGGGUGGGGGGAAUGAGUGAGAGAGAGGGGGGGGGACGAGCAGAGCGAGUGUGAAUUUGUGAGUGUUCAUUGGACGCAUUGGAGCAGCCGAGUCGGACCAAAGCAUCUUCGACAGUUGUCAGUCAGUGAGUCGAUGCUGAGUCGCACUCCUCGAGCCCGUUCCGUCCCCGCCGGGCCGCCCCGCCCGCCGCCCGCCCCCCGCCGAGCGCCGCGUGCCCCGAGUGGCCCCACCACCCCGACAGUUUCCCGCCUGCAGGCUGACAUGUGAAUCGCGUCGCGGAUCACGACAUGCGCGUGUCCAACUCCCUCGCGGGCCCCCUGCUGCUGCUGGCCGUGGCGGCGGCCUGCUUGUCGUCGGCGCAGGGUGGCGUCGCCACCGCGGCCCCCAGGACGCAGCACGCGCCGGCCGCCGCCGCGUCCAUCGGCUCCAUGGCGUCGGGCAGGCCGAGCCGGCCCCGGGCGACCCCGGUGACCGCGCUGCCGGCGCUGUCCACGACGGAGCGGACGGUCGAGCACCACGACGGCAAGCUGGUGCUGAUCCACAAGCCGCGCUCCAAGUCGCCCGGCCGCGGCCGCGGCGCGCACCCGGCCACGACCAAGCCGCCGCCCGACGCCAACACCAUCCUCAUCCAGGCGCCCAGGAGGUUCGUCCCCCAGCGCGAGCCCGUCACCUGCGGGGACGGCUACACCCCCGACCACAGGGGCAAGUGCAGGGAGGACUGGUGAGGCGCGGCCGGCGGCGACCGGCGGCGACCGGAUACGGAAGACAAAAGGGCGGACACGCCCAAGGAAUGAAGAACUGCAGGCUAGAUAUGAAUCCAGUUUCCUUCAAUUGCACCGCUCUUCCUCUCCCGCUUAUCGAAGUACAUUUUUAACCAUGAUGUUCUUGUUACCAGCAUGUGAUAUCAAAUAUACCUAGCUUAACAAUAAUGUAAAUAAAUUUUAAUUGUAGAUGCCUACUCUCAAA